rnacentral:rRNA from 1 species
AGAGUUUGAUCCUGGCUCAGGAUGAACGCUAGCGGCAGGCUUAACACAUGCAAGUCGAGGGGUAUAAGGGGCUUGCCCUUUAGAGACCGGCGCACGGGUGCGUAACGCGUAUGCAAUCUACCUUUCACAGGGGGAUAGCCCAGAGAAAUUUGGAUUAAUACCCCAUAGCAUAUAUUGAUGGCAUCAUUGGUAUAUUAAAGUCACAACGGUGAAAGAUGAGCAUGCGUCCCAUUAGCUAGAUGGUAAGGUAACGGCUUACCAUGGCAACGAUGGGUAGGGGUCCUGAGAGGGAGAUCCCCCACACUGGUACUGAGACACGGACCAGACUCCUACGGGAGGCAGCAGUGAGGAAUAUUGGUCAAUGGGCGCAAGCCUGAACCAGCCAUGCCGCGUGCAGGAUGACGGUCCUAUGGAUUGUAAACUGCUUUUAUACGGGAAGAAACCCCGCCACGUGUGGCGGAUUGACGGUACCGUAAGAAUAAGGAUCGGCUAACUCCGUGCCAGCAGCCGCGGUAAUACGGAGGAUCCAAGCGUUAUCCGGAAUCAUUGGGUUUAAAGGGUCCGUAGGCGGCCCGGUAAGUCAGUGGUGAAAUCUCCCCGCUCAACGGGGAAACGGCCAUUGAUACUGCCGGGCUUGAAUGGUCAGGAAGUAACUAGAAUAUGUAGUGUAGCGGUGAAAUGCUUAGAUAUUACAUGGAAUACCAAUUGCGAAGGCAGGUUACUACUGGCAAAUUGACGCUGAUGGACGAAAGCGUGGGUAGCGAACAGGAUUAGAUACCCUGGUAGUCCACGCCGUAAACGAUGGAUACUAGCUGUCCGGAUGCAAAUCUGGGUGGCUAAGCGAAAGUGAUAAGUAUCCCACCUGGGGAGUACGAACGCAAGUUUGAAACUCAAAGGAAUUGACGGGGGCCCGCACAAGCGGUGGAGCAUGUGGUUUAAUUCGAUGAUACGCGAGGAACCUUACCAAGGCUUAAAUGUAGGUUGACCGGAUUGGAAACAGUCCUUUCGCAAGACAACUUACAAGGUGCUGCAUGGUUGUCGUCAGCUCGUGCCGUGAGGUGUCAGGUUAAGUCCUAUAACGAGCGCAACCCCUGUUGUUAGUUGCCAGCGAGUGAAGUCGGGAACUCUAACAAGACUGUCAGUGCAAACUGUGAGGAAGGUGGGGAUGACGUCAAAUCAUCACGGCCCUUACGCCUUGGGCUACACACGUGCUACAAUGGCCGGUACAGAGAGCAGCCACCUCGCGAGGGGGAGCGAAUCUAUAAAACCGGUCACAGUUCGGAUCGGAGUCUGCAACUCGACUCCGUGAAGCUGGAAUCGCUAGUAAUCGGAUAUCAGCCAUGAUCCGGUGAAUACGUUCCCGGGCCUUGUACACACCGCCCGUCAAGCCAUGGAAGCUGGGGGUGCCUGAAGUCGGUGACCGCAAGGAGCUGCCUAGGGUAAAACUGGUAACUAGGGCUAAGUCGGAACAAGGUAGCCGUACCGGAAGGUGCGGCUG